CAGAUGUGUAUAAGAGACAGGUGAAUCAUCGAAUCUUUGAACGCACAUUGCGCCCUAAAGUAUUCUUUUGGGCAUGCCUGUUCGAGCGUCAUUUCAACCCUCAAGCACUGCUUGGUGAUGGGGCAUUACACCAUGUAAGCCCUGAAAUAUAGUGGCGGGCCCGCUGUGGUCUCGAGCGUAGUAAUACACCUCGCUUAGGGUAUCAUGGCGGACCUCUGCCGUUAAACCCCCCACUCCAAAGGUUGACCUCGGAUCAGGUAGGAAUACCCGCUGAACUUAAGCAUAUCAAUAAGCGGAGGA
rnacentral:misc_RNA from 1 species